rnacentral:miRNA from 1 species
ACCAGCUGUCCUGGUUUGCCUGAGACUGAGGGGUUUCCUGAGACUUGGGACUUGCUUUGCUAAAGCUGG